AGGAAAAGAAACCAACCGGGAUUGCCUCAGUAACGGCGAGUGAAGCGGCAAGAGCUCAAAUUUGAAAGCUGGCUCCUUCGGGGUCCGCAUUGUAAUUUGCAGAGGAUGCUUCGGGUGCGGCCCCUGUCUAAGUGCCCUGGAACGGGCCGUCAGAGAGGGUGAGAAUCCCGUCUGGGAUGGGGUGUCCGCGCCCGUGUGAAGCUCCUUCGACGAGUCGAGUUGUUUGGGAAUGCAGCUCUAAAUGGGUGGUAAAUUUCAUCUAAAGCUAAAUACUGGCCGGAGACCGAUAGCGCACAAGUAGAGUGAUCGAAAGAUGAAAAGCACUUUGAAAAGAGAGUUAAAAAGCACGUGAAAUUGUUGAAAGGGAAGCGCUUGCGACCAGACUCGCCUCCAGGGUUCAGCCGGCAUUCGUGCCGGUGUACUUCCCUGGGGGCGGGCCAGCGUCGGUUUGGGCGGCCGGUCAAAGGCUCCCGGAAUGUAGUGCCCUCCGGGGCACCUUAUAGCCGGGAGUGCAAUGCGGCCAGCCUGGACCGAGGAACGCGCUUCGGCACGGACGCUGGCAUAAUGGUCGUAAACGACCCGUCUUG
rnacentral:rRNA from 1 species